rnacentral:rRNA from 1 species
UCCCAGACUCCUACGGGAGGCAGCAGUCGGGAAUAUUGCACAAUGGAGGAAACUCUGAUGCAGUGACACCGCGUAUAGGAAGAAGGUUUUCGGAUUGUAAACUAUUUUAGACAGGGAAGAAAAAAGACAGUACCUGUAGAAUAAGCUCCGGCUAACUACGUGCCAGCAGCCGCGGUAAUACGUAGGGGGCGAGCGUUAUCCGGAAUUACUGGGUGUAAAGGGAGCGUAGACGGCGAAGUAAGCCUGAAGUGGAAGCCCGCGGCCCAACCGCGGAACUGCUUUGGGAACUGUUUUGCUGGAGUAUGGGAGGGGUAAGCGGAAUUCCUGGUGUAGCGGUGAAAUGCGUAGAUAUCAGGAGGAACACCGGUGGCGAAGGCGGCUCACUGGACCAUGACUGACGUUGAGGCUCGAAAGCGUGGGGAGCGAACAGGAUUAGAUACCCGUGUA